AUGAAAAAUCGAUUGGUGGGCAGCUGGACACUUGAUUCUGGUUACAUCCGUCUGUGCAUAUUCUUAAAAGAAGAGCCAAGAAACUAUUAUGAUAAAAACCAGUGGUAUGAUACAGAUGUCCUGCAGAAUCUAAUUAGAGAAGGAUAUAAAUGGAUUGGACAAAGAAGUCACACCAUGCCUGUGUGAAACAGAACUCUGUGCUCCUUACUCUUUGGUGUUCAUUGUCAGAUUAUAAAUCAAGAUACUGGCAUAAAAGCUUUGUCUCAGACACGGUAGUAGACAGAACCAAGACUAACUCAGAGACCAACUAGUCCAAGGAUAUAUAGCAUCACUGACAUUGAAGAUAGUGAAAGAUAAAGGUAAAAGACACAUCCGUAACCACAAAGAAGCUG
ensembl:lncRNA